rnacentral:rRNA from 1 species
GACGAACGCUGGCGGCGUGCUUAACACAUGCAAGUCGAACGGUGAACGAGGGAGCUUGCUCCCUCCGGAUCAGUGGCGAACGGGUGAGUAACACGUGAGCAAUCUGCCCCGAACUCUUGGAUAAGCGUUGGAAACGACGUCUAAUACCGGAUACGACGCGGGGGGGCAUCCUCUCCGCGUGGAAAGAACUUCGGUUCGGGAUGAGCUCGCGGCCUAUCAGCUUGUUGGUGAGGUAACGGCUCACCAAGGCGACGACGGGUAGCCGGCCUGAGAGGGUGACCGGCCACACUGGGACUGAGACACGGCCCAGACUCCUACGGGAGGCAGCAGUGGGGAAUAUUGCACAAUGGGCGCAAGCCUGAUGCAGCAACGCCGCGUGAGGGACGACGGCCUUCGGGUUGUAAACCUCUUUUAGCAGGGAAGAAGCGAAAGUGACGGUACCUGCAGAAAAAGCACCGGCUAACUACGUG